AUUGAACGCUGGCGGAAUGCUUUACACAUGCAAGUCGAACGGCAGCACGGGGCAACCUGGUGGCGAGUGGCGAACGGGUGAGUAAUAUAUCGGAACGUGCCCAAUCGUGGGGGAUAACGUAGCGAAAGUUACGCUAAUACCGCAUACGAUCUACGGAUGAAAGCGGGGAUCGCAAGACCUCGCGCGAAUGGAGCGGCCGAUAUCAGAUUAGGUAGUUGGUGGGGUAAAAGGCUCACCAAGCCAACGAUCUGUAGCUGGUCUGAGAGGACGACCAGCCACACUGGAACUGAGACACGGUCCAGACUCCUACGGGAGGCAGCAGUGGGGAAUUUUGGACAAUGGGCGCAAGCCUGAUCCAGCCAUUCCGCGUGCAGGAUGAAAGGCCUUCGGUUGUAAACUGCUUUUGUACGGACGAAACGGUCUGACCCUAACUACGUAGGGCUAAUGACGGUACCGUAAGAAUAAGACACCGGCUAACUACGUAGCCAG
rnacentral:rRNA from 1 species